rnacentral:rRNA from 1 species
GACGAACGCUGGCGGCGUGCUUAACACAUGCAAGUCGAACGGAAAGGCCCUGCUUUUGUGGGGUGCUCGAGUGGCGAACGGGUGAGUAACACGUGAGUAACCUGCCCUGGACGUGGGGAUAACUUCAGGAAACUGGGGCUAAUACCGGAUAGGAGCUCCUGCUGCAUGGUGGGGGUUGGAAAGUUUCGGCGGUUGGGGAUUGACUCGGGGCUUAUCAUCUUGUUGGUGGGGUAGUGGCUUACCAAGGCUUUGACGGUUAGCCGGCCUGAGAGGGUGACCGGCCACAUUGGGACUGAGAUACGGCCCAGACUCCUACGGGAGGCAGCAGUGGGAAAUAUUGCCCAAUGGGCGGAAGCCUGAUGCAGCAACGCCGCGUGCGGGAUGACGGCCUUCGGGUUGUAAACCGCUUUCGCCUGUGACGAAGCGUGAGUGACGGUAAUGGGUAAAGAAGCACCGGCUAACUACGUG